GUUGUUCUCUGGGAAAGAGGGGAACAGGGAGCAGUUAUGCUGUGAGAAGCUUUAAGCCAGCUCUUCACCGGAGGGGGGAUGAAGAGGCUUGAAGGAAUUCCCAAGUGUGCCUUCCUGGGUCUGAAGGUGUAACCAGCUCAGAGCACAGUGUUUUCCCCAGGAAUUGAAAUUAGGGGGGUGUUUGAAUAUAUGGGUGGUGGUGGUGAGGGCUGACGAGGGUUGAGACUGUGAGGGGGAAGAAGGGCUGUAUGGCACUAUAGUAAAAACUGAAAAAUGUUUCAUGAUCAUUUUAUUAGAUUUAACUCAUGUUUUAAAAUCAUCACAGAAAUUAAAAUUGGUUACUCAAGCCUACUAUGAAGGACGACAUCUACAUCCUUCUUGGUUUCUUGUUGUAAUUUUGCACAUCUCUUUGGUGUCUUCUUGUGUGUCUGUUACUUCCAGUCCUUCAUGAUAUGCUCAUGAUCAGGCAGAAGACGACUUCUUUCAGAAUGCAAAAUUCUAUUCAGUCCCAGUGUAUCUUCUAUUUGUUUCCAAGACAUUCAGUUCUUUUGGACUCUUGCUGAAAAAAGAAUACAAGAAAGCCAUUAAAUUUAUGGCUUUUAACUGUCUUUUGAAGAUUCUGCAGCUUGUACUAGCACUAGCUGAAGUAGAUGGCCUUUGUAGUGUGUAUAGAAGAAAUUAGGGUUAGACUUUUCUCUGAACAAAGCUUGUACUCCACUAUGUCUUCCAAAGAAGUUUAUAGCUCCAUCAAAUGCACAAACAGCCAUCUGUUUGGGGUUCACUUACAAGCAUUUAACUCUUCUAAGAUAGAAUCA